GUUAUAUAAGGAUAAUUGCGCACCAGCCAGUUACAACCAAGCCUUUUCCCCCAAAUAUCUUCAGUCCCAACCCAUACAAGUAUACAUACUCUCAGCCAUGGCCGCAGUUGAAGUUACCGAGCUUGCAGCAGACUCCUUUGUCUUCCAAAUCGACCAACCCCCUUCUCCUCCUACUAUUUACAGAGUCCCCCACGAUCUUCGCAAGCUCAACGAAAGUGCUUAUACCCCUCGCCUCGUCUCCAUUGGUCCUCUUCACUGCAAUGACAAAGCCUUGAAGAACUCACGCGUCAACAAGACCAAGGUGAACUAUUGCGUCAGAUCACUCAUUCGUCGGGCAGCCAAAUCGGACGACGACGAAGCAGUGUUGGAAAGAGAGUACCGGAAAAAGAUGGAGGAGUCGGUUGAGGAGGCUAAGAGGUACUACGAAGACGACGAAGCUAAGGCGUUGGUCGACGCAGAGAUGCUCUUGGCGGAUGCUUGUUUUGUACUGGAACUGCUCUACCUUCGACAUGAGAUGGUUUCUGUUCGCAAGAUUCCCGAACUUGGGAUAGAUUGCGUCCGGGCUUACCGCACUGUUCAACGAGACUUGUUGUUGUUGGAGAACCAGCUUCCGUUCUUCGUUCUUGAGAAACUUUUCCAUCUCACAAAAACUAAAGCCGGUGCCGGAGGGUCUUCUCCUAUUGGAUGCGUAUUGUCAUUUUUUGGCGAUUUGCCCAUCAUGAAACCAGGAGGCAAUGGCGAAAAUAUUAUUGAAAAUCCAUGUCACAUCCUCCAUCUCCUUCACGGGUACUACCUUCCGGCCGGCCUUCCGAAGGCGGAGCCUCGCUGCCAAUUCCUGCAAUCUGCUUUAGACCUCGACUAUGCGGGUGUCAGGUUCGAAUCGCACAAUGCCAGAAGGCAAUCCCAGUCGGACCACAACGAAAGCCCAUUCCAGGUCGAAUUUGAACCUCCUUCCAGCCUCAAACGGUGGUGGUUCUGCAGUGCGUCUUUCAAAAUUCCGACGCUGCAUAUUGACGACUCGACCGAGCUGUUCCUGAGAAACCUCAUCGCCUUCGAGCGGUGCUGCUCCGACGUUAAGAGCUAUGUUACAUCGUAUGCAUUCGUCAUGGACAGGCUGAUCAACACUGACAAGGACGUGGCCGUGCUCCAAAAGGCUGGGAUUAUAUGUAACUACUUGGGGUGCCAUAAAGAUGCUUCCGAUCUAUUCAAUAAACUAUGCUCUGAAGUUGCAAUUGGGGAUUUCUACUUCGCCAAAGCGUGCAAGGAAGCCCACGAAUACAGCAGCCGGAGUUGGCCGAAGGCGGUGGCGUCUCUGAAGCGGAACAACUUUGCGACUCCGUGGGGCUACAUGGCUUUCGGCGUUGCUCUUGUUUUAUUCUGCUCGUCGCUGAUAACUGCCAUCCGCAACCUCAGGUCAAUCCGCCCAUAACGGGAUUCGAAUUUAGCUCCAAAUCUGGAUUCAAACCCGGAUCCAAUUCAGAUCCAGAAUCAGAUCUGCAACCACUGUGCAGUUGUAGAGGGAACAACUGCAAUCCGCAGUUGAACCCCAUUUCCUCCAUUCAUGGUGGAAGUGGGCAGAUCAGAAAAUGACACGAGUGAGGACCCCAAACCUUAUCCGAUCUGUCGCUCAAAGAGCUUAAGUUAUGGAAAUGAAAAGAUAGUUAGCUGAUUAUUGGAUGAUGGAAGGGCAAAGUAUAUAUGAGCACAUCAUCAUUGUGUGUGAGAUAAUGCAAGACCUUAUAUUACUGGCUAUGGAUGGACUCACGAAGCAACAUAUCGAUUUUUGCUUGCCAUGUUGUUGUCACAUGAUAAGGAAUUAAUAACUAGCAUUUGGGAAUCUGGUUAUCCAAAUAAGUCAUUUUGUUGGGCAUUAUGUUUCUUCUUAACUGCAUAUAAGAGAAGAGAAAUUAUAAUGGCCUUAUACUCAAGUAGCCUACCAAUAGAUAUUAUUAGUUAUAUUGCUCAUAGGACUCUUAGGUCCAUUCCCCAUGAUGUCAUUCGUGUAAUUCCUUAUAGGACUAGACUUAUUAAGUAAUGUGUUACUCAAUCCAUGUAUCUAGUCUAAUUUGUUUUUGUAGCAAAUUUCUUAACUAUGUGUUUAUUAUUUCAUUUUAUGAAAUGAAUUAUGGUUGAUUAUUUAAUCUUUGUGAUUAAAUAUGCAUGCUUUAUUAUUAGUUAUUUAAUCUUUGUGAUUAAAUAUGUUAUAAUAAUUCCUUAUUAAAUGGGAUUAAAUGUUCUCAAAUUUUUUUUUGAGAUAUAAAAAAAUAAAAUUAAUAAUAUUUAGACACUUAGAAUAUGAGCGAUGAUUGGGAACAUAAUGAACUUUUGACCCCGUAUUUAGUUGAAUAUUUAUUGUUAAUUUUAUUUGGUAAAUAUGUGUAAAGCAUGGCAUUAAUGAAAUGAAUCUUAUGUAAAUUAUUCAUUGAGAAUGGCUUCUUCCAAGAACAUAAUAGUUGAUUUGAUAGAAGGCGAGAAAUUGAAUGAGGAUAACUAUGAGAUUUGGAGUAUAAAGAUCCAAUAUGUUCUUGGGAACAAGAGUCAAUUGAAGCUUUAACUUGGGUUAUGGAGGAACUUGCUGAAGGAACCACUGCACAACACAAGAGGGAUAGAGAGGCUUACAAUGCUUAGAAGAAAAAGAACUCCACUACUCGCAUUACAUUGCUCAGCAGCAUGGAGAAUGAUAUCAUGCGUGAAUUCAAAAGUUUGAGUUGGCAAAUGAAAUGUGGAAUGCUCUUAAAGAGCAAUUUGGGAUAACUUCAGUUGCAAAGGUAAGGCAACUAACUAUCAAGUUUGAUACACAUAAAAAGCGCCUAAACCACAACAUGGGGAAAAAUCUUUGAGAAAUAACUAAUAUGGUCAAUGAACUCAAGGAUGCUAGUGUAAACCUCAUUGAUGAACAGCAAGUACAAACUGUUAUCAAAUCUCUGUCCCACAACUAGGAGCGCAUGAAGAUUUAUCUUACAUAUAACGUGAACAUUAAGACAAUCGUCGAUGCUUCACGUCAUUUAGAGUUGAAAGAGGACUAUAUUGAGGCCUUUAUACUUAAUACUGAAAUCUUUAUAAUUGCAUCUAGCUCCAAAGGCGCUCCCAAGCUUAACUGAGAGUCACCAUGGAAAGGGUAAGGGAUCAGCUCGCAAUCCAUAAAAAAAAAAAAAAGAA